AUUCUGCCCAUGCGGGGAAGGAUGAGAAGCUUCGAUUAAGGUUCGAUUCGAGCGUAGCGAGAAAGCGUUGCCGCAGGCAACGACCCGAAGGGCGAGGCGCAACGCGCCGAGUAAUCCUUCCCCCACCACCA
rnacentral:sRNA from 4 species